GAACAAUUCACUGAUAUUGACAUUGCCUAGCCAGUUAUUUUAUUUAUUGAUUUUCGAGGAGAUAAUCUCUUCAAAAACAACUUGGAUGUUGUAGACAGGAAAGUACAACGUUGUUAAUUCGAUAUACAAAACAGUGUUGUCUCCCUUUCCUAACAGGUGCAGUAGUAUUGUUGUCAUUUUAAAAAAAGCUGUCCAAGCAUGCGAGGGACCACGUAACCAACGAUGAACCACUGUGACACGUGACCUAAAAAAUCUGAUAUUGAUGACAUCCAUUACGCUAAAUGUUUUUUUUCUGGAUUUCUUACUCACGCCCUCGCGAUAAUAAUGCGGUAUGGAAUGGGCGUGUUUACACAGAAAUGACAGGAAGGUUGGGUCUGUGAAAUUGUUCUAUGACUAUGUAAGAGUUAAACUUAUCUGUUAAAAACAAAAUUCUUACGGGAACGAUUUUAUAUCUGAACUGAACUUUUGUACAUUACAACUGGUGUAACUGACUAAGUACAUGUAUCCUCGGGUAAUGGCCGAGUGUGGCGCUACACAAGGAAGUGUUGGCAAACAGCGGAGUAAACGAAACUGCAGAUGGAUUAUAGUGUUAAUUACAUUUACAAGCCUCUUCGUACUCUCUAUUCAUGAUUUUAGUCCUUUGAAAUCGUUUGAAAAAAUGAGAGAAUCCCUCAUGACGAAAUCGGAUAUAGCUUCUGCAAAGACACAGACAAAGAAGGACCAUGGUGUAGCAAAGCAUGAGUGUAUAACAUGUACCUCCCUCGGGCCAAUGUGUAACCACGGAGUGUGUGUGGAUCUGGAUCACUGCUCAAGUACAUGUAAAUGUGACCAAGGAUAUGGCGGAAUUCAUUGUGACACAAAAAAGUCAAAAUCGUCAAUUCUAGAAAAACUUCAAAUGUCUGUCAAAGUGUGAUAUCAAGGGGGAAAACAGGAGAAAAGCCUAGACAACUAUGUUAAUCACGUAGGAAAUCACGCUGUCUCCCGGUCCUGUGAUUGUUUGGAUUUUGUGUCAAGGUGAACUCGCCGGUCGUUUCCGCUUGACUGGAUAUUGAUGAUGAGAUGACUUAACAUCAAUCAGGCGAUUACGACACCGGGACUUAAGCGCCUAGGUCUGAUAACAUACCUGUCAGGUGUUAACAAAAGUCAGGAACUUGAUAGCUAGACCAGUAUAGUAUAGAUCUUGCUAAAGGCCAUGCUGAUAAACUAUCGUUCUUUUUUCCUC